rnacentral:rRNA from 1 species
GAGUUUGAUCCUGGCUCAGGAUGAACGCUAGCGGCAGGCUUAACACAUGCAAGUCGAGGGGUAUAGGUUUUCGGACCUAGAGACCGGCGCACGGGUGCGUAACGCGUAUGCAAUCUACCUUUUACAGAGGGAUAGCCCAGAGAAAUUUGGAUUAAUACCUCAUAGUAUAAUGAUUCGGCAUCGGAGACAUUAUUAAAGUUCCAACGGUAAAAGAUGAGCAAUGCGUCCCAUUAGCUAGAUGGUAAGGUAACGGCUUACCAUGGCGACGAUGGGUAGGGGUCCUGAGAGGGAGA